GGCUUUGCCUGCUAUCUCUUACCCAUGUCUUUUGAGUACCUUACGUUUCCUCGGUGGGUUCGCCCACCGAUUGGACAAAUUUAAACCCUUUGCAGUUGAAAUCAGCGUCUGAAAAAACUUAAUAGUUACAACUUUCAACAACGGAUCUCUUGGUUCUGGCAUCGAUGAAGAACGCAGCGAAAUGCGAUAAGUAGUGUGAAUUGCAGAAUUCAGUGAAUCAUCGAAUCUUUGAACGCACAUUGCGCCCCUUGGUAUUCCAUGGGGCAUGCCUGUUCGAGCGUCAUUUGUACCUUCAAGCUCUGCUUGGUGUUGGGUGUUUGUCUCCUGUAGACUCGCCUUAAAACAAUUGGCAGCCGGCGUAUUGAUUUCGGAGCGCAGUACAUCUCGCGCUUUGCACUCAUAACGACGACAUCCAAAAGAACAUUUUUACACUCUUGACCUCGGAUCAGGUAGGGAUACCCGCUGAACUUAAGCAUAUCAAUAAGGCGGUGGAAGAACUUUAC
rnacentral:sRNA from 1 species